rnacentral:rRNA from 1 species
ACGCCGCGUGAGUGAAGAAGGUUUUCGGAUCGUAAAACUCUGUUGUAAGGGAAGAACACGUACGAGAGUAACUGCUCGUACCUUGACGGUACCUUAUUAGAAAGCCACGGCUAACUACGUGCCAGCAGCCGCGGUAAUACGUAGGUGGCAAGCGUUGUCCGGAAUUAUUGGGCGUAAAGCGCGCGCAGGCGGUUCUUUAAGUCUGAUGUGAAAGCCCACGGCUCAACCGUGGAGGGUCAUUGGAAACUGGAGAACUUGAGUAC